UACUGAACGUCCAGGGCCGGGCAGACGCUCCGAAAGCUGUGUGUGAAUGCGAGGUCAGUCUUGAGUUCCUGGUCCUUUUACCUCUACCUUCACAUCAGAACAACAAAGCUACAUUUUGGCUCCUGCUGUCGUGACACCAUCCACCAUUAGGUGGCCACCGAAGGCCAAACUCCACCCUUUCCC